rnacentral:siRNA from 1 species
UGUGGAUUCGAUUAUAACGAA